rnacentral:lncRNA from 1 species
CGGUGUGCCAAGUCACCUUUGGAAAAUCCUUUUCGAAAUGGUUUGACUCUAAAAAUUGAUCCGCGAACAGAGAUUCCAGCUAAGGAAUUCUGUUGACCGAGGGGAAGGUGUUAGGCACCCCUCGAUCCCGUGGUUCGACCACGGUCGCUUGGUGGAGCGUAUCGGCUAAUUUGACAUUACAAAUGUACAAACCACAUAAACAC